rnacentral:rRNA from 1 species
UUAACACAUGCAAGUCGCACGGUCGGAGCAAUCCGGCAGUGGCGGACGGGUGAGUAACGCGUAGGAAUCUAUCUCUGGGUGGGGGACAACCGUGGGAAACUACGGCUAAUACCGCAUGACACCUGAGGGUCAAAGGCGCAAGUCGCCUGGAGAGGAGCCUGCGUACGAUUAGCUUGUUGGUGGGGUAAAGGCCUACCAAGGCUACGAUCGUUAGCUGGUCUGAGAGGAUGAUCAGCCACAUUGGGACUGAGACACGGCCCAAACUCCUACGGGAGGCAGCAGUGGGGAAUAUUGGACAAUGGGCGAAAGCCUGAUCCAGCAAUGCCGCGUGGGUGAAGAAGGUCUUCGGAUUGUAAAGCCCUUUCGACGGGGACGAUGAUGACGGUACCCGUAGAAGAAGCCCCGGCUAACUUCGUGCCAGCAGCCGCGGUAAU